rnacentral:rRNA from 1 species
UACGUAGGUCGCGAGCGUUGUCCGGAAUUACUGGGCGUAAAGAGCUCGUAGGUGGUUUGUCACGUCGUCUGUGAAAUUCUGGGGCUUAACCUCGGGCGUGCAGGCGAUACGGGCAAUACUUGAGUGCUGAAGGGGAGACUGGAAUUCCUGGUGUAGCGGUGAAAUGCGCAGAUAUCAGGAGGAACACCAAUGGCGAAGGCAGGUCUCUGGGCCACUACUGACGCUGAGAAGCGAAAGCAUGGGGAGCGAACAGGAUUAGA